GAUGAACGCUAGCUACAGGCUUAACACAUGCAAGUCGAGGGGAAACGAUAUUGGAAGCUUGCUUCCGAUAGGCGUCGACCGGCGCACGGGUGAGUAACGCGUAUCCAACCUGCCCACCACUUGGGGAUAACCUUGCGAAAGUAAGACUAAUACCCAAUGAUAUCUCAAGAAGACAUCUGAAUGAGAUUAAAGAUUUAUCGGUGAUGGAUGGGGAUGCGUCUGAUUAGCUUGUUGGCGGGGUAACGGCCCACCAAGGCUACGAUCAGUAGGGGUGCUGAGAGGAAGGUCCACCACAUUGGAACUGAGACACGGUCCAAACUCCUACGGGAGGCAGCAGUGAGGAAUAUUGGUCAAUGGGCGAGAGCCUGAACCCGCCAAGUAGCGUGCAGGAUGACGGCCCUAUGGGUUGUAAACUGCUUUUAUAAGGGAAUAAAGUGUGCCUCGUGAGGCUUUUUGCAUGUACCUUAUGAAUAAGGACCGGCUAAUUCCGUGCCAGCCGCCGCUGUAA
rnacentral:rRNA from 1 species